GCAGCACAUGAUGUGGCCUUAGUUCUCGGUAAGGAGCAAUGGAGGGGAAAAAAUGCUGGUACUGGUCCCAGCAUCCCAACAGAACAAAGGUCUGUCCCCUUCAUAAGGUCAUGCCUGAAAGACUAGACAGGUCUGUGAUUAUUCCUUUCCUGUGGUAGCCAUAUUACAGCAUUCCCCUUUAAAACAGCUGAAGUGCAUACCAAAAGCAGCUUGUUUUGGAGGCAGGACUGUUUCUGGGGGCUCAUGCCCCUAAGGCAGCCUGAGGGGGUGUGGGUGAUGCUGUGGGCUAUUGCAGGAAUGAGGGGAGCAAGGGGGAGGGUUUCUAGGGAUCUUGGCACGGUUUCAUUUUUAUCUGUUUGCUGCAUAGUUGGAGAAGUUAGAGCUGACGCUUUCCUUUCUGACUGCCACAUUUCUCCUCCUUAGACACCGAGGGGCCCUGAGUCCACAUCAGCUGUGUGCAAGCAAAUGCCCCUGAAGUCACUGGGAACUGCUGUUAUGGCAUCUGUCCCUGAGAGCAUCAUGAGUGGGAUGUUGGGUUUUUACUGUUUACUGUAUCUCUAUUUCGGAUCUCUCCUUGUCCGUGUAAAGUGCGUACAUGUGUUUAUGAACUGCUUGUUGCAAAGAUAAGGGAAUGUGGGGUGCUGGCCAAUCCCUUUUUCCAUUACUCCUUCGGUUUUUUUGUUUCCUGCUUCUCUUUUAUGCUGCUUUUCUGCCUCCUAUUUUGGGGUUUUUUUCUUUCCAUCUCCUUCCUUCUAUGGCAAUGAGCAGGGUUUGCUCCACAGCACAUGCCAGUCAGGUCCUGUGGGCUUUGCCCCCACUGCUUAAUAAGAAAUCUGUUAAAAAAAAAAAAAAAAAAAGAAGACAGAAAGAAAUAUUUGGUAUCUAAAAGCAGCUUAUAUUAAGCCACACAGAUACUAUGCUUCAUGCUCUAACAUUAACUUAACGUGAAGCUUAAUCAGAGCUGUGUAUUUGGAGGGUCGUUAUUCCUUGGCACUAAAGCAACCAUUUCAGAUGAGCACCAAAAAGAAGCAUGUUCUGCACACUCCUGGUAUGGAAGGAAUAACACUUCUUUACUUUGAAAAUACAGGAUGCUAUUGAUUCCCAGUGUCUGAAUACCUCUUUGCAUUUGAAAAAGAUCAUGACUAUGCAUUUACAGUUGUCGUUCCAGGUCUGCACCAUGACAAGUAGCAGGCUGGGACACCUGCCACUGGGUUACCACAUCCUGGUGUGCUGGCACCAGAUGGGGGACUCUGUGGCAAGCUGAAAUGCUCGCUGGGCCACCAGCCAACAGCUGUCCUACCCCAUACCCAACAUCUCCCAUCUAAAGAGCCCACAACAGCAAAUUAAAGUUCAAAGAAUUCAUCAAAGACCUAACUGCUGGAGUUUCACAUGGUGAUGCCAUUUGCUGCGCAUUAGGUUUCAGAAGGCUGCAUUCCAGCACUUGAAAACAGGAUGCUUUCUGGCUGAUAUCCUCUGGUACCCAAGCACAGUCAUCCAUGUUCAAUACGGAUUCAAAAUGGACCAAACACAGAGACUGGAUACUUACGUGGUCAGAGGACUUCAAUUCUCAGCUGAGGACACCAGAAAGCCUUGACUAAUCCAGGAAAAUAAAGUCUGAAUGACCGUUGAGACUAUGCUCACUGUGUGUAAAUUUCUAACAAGGGGGAAACCAGCAGAGAAAAGGGCUACUUACGUUACAAGACAAUACUGGCACAAGAGCCAAGUAUUUAAACUCAUUGUGUAGACAUUUUGGCUGAAAACCAUGAAUACAAAAAAGUGAUGGUGUAAAAAGUGUUGUAUAAAAAAGUCCUUCUAGAAGCAAAGGGCUAAAAAUUUCUGAUUUUACUAAAAUAUAAAAGACCCUUUGAUGGGUUGCUCUUAGGUGUUUUAGAUCAACAGAUGUUGUAAUUCUUAUUGUCUCUGUGGAAUUUUCCCUUUUCACCUCCAACACAUCUUCAAGUCUCCAUUCAAAACUCACUGUCACCUCUAGCCUACACUCCUAGUUUUCAAGUGUUGUCUUCUAUGGGAAAUAUCCCUUACCUUUCACACCCAGAUAAUUUCCAUUAGGAAACUCGGUAGCCCAGCUUCUGUGGCCAAUCUUUUUAUUUGCAUCUUCUUUCCUCUGGCCAUCUGCUGUCACAUUAGCUGCUAGUUUUAUUUGCCUAGUUCCUAUGCUUAAAGAAAAAAAGAUUGAAAAUUCCUCUAAUUCCUAUAAUUCUGGUCUCUGCAGCUGGCCUGCAAGGCUUUGGUCUAGAUCAGCUCUGUCUCUUUGUUCAGGCUUGGCAGCCACUGCUAAUCUGCAAUGAUCAAAGGCAGGAAGAUUCCAGCACACCCUCAUCCCCAGACUUCUGGCCCUGUUGCAACAUAGUCCCUGAACAGCCCCUAAAAUAUGGUCCUCUGGGCUGUGAGGUAUUGUACACCCACACAGAGGCUCGCUGACUUCUCUGCAUCUCUGUCCAUGUGUGAUAUAUAGCUUUCCUUCCAUAGACAGGGCACUCUGUAUAGGAAAAAAUUCAUGCCACUUGGAAUUCUCCAGUGGUAGAAAAAAACAAGAAUUGGACCUGCACAGCCUUUUGUAUCUCUGCAACACAUAAAGCUGUUCUGAAACAUGUUUGUUUUGUUUUUGUUUUUUUUUUUUUUCCAAACAAACGCAAAUCUUCCUUUUACUCGGCUUGUUUUUUGCAAUAUAAAUUCAGGUUUUGUCUUUCUUCCAAGACUGUGUGAUGACAGGGGAACUGCUGAAUGAUGAUGUCAUGGUAGACUAAAGAGAAUACAAUUGAGCAAUUUGACAGGAAACCUGACUUUUGGUUGGACUGUGCACAAUCCUUUGUUUUUGAGUGUUUAACCACUCCAAUACAGUGACUGAUAUUUUUGCCUUUUCAACUAAGGCAUGACAGGUCACAGUAAAAUUCCUAAAAACUCUUCAGAGUUUCUCACAGGGUAAAGAAGGGACAAGAAAAUUCAGUGUAAAAAUGGUUCAAAAGGCCAUAGACUCUCACUUCAAUAUAUAACAUGUUUAAACUGAUCUAACUGAACAAGAACUCAUUUAGUCUAAAAUACUAAAGUAAUGUCAGGUAGGAAAAGACAUAACAAUCCUUGUAUUUCCAAAGUAAACCAUCACAUAGAAAAUUCUUCAGUGUUCAUAAACUGGCAAAAAAUUAUACUUUUUAAGUCCCCUUCAAGUCCACUUUUGAAAUAGUCCACAAACUGUGUUUCUAGACAUAAUUAAGAAACAGUGUUUAAUAUUCUGGAAUAUAGUAUGGAUGUCUGCUUGACAUUUCUGGAAACUAUACUUUUUUCAAAAAUUGAAAAACAACUGGAUUUAAUUAUUGUUUUAUUAAAGGAAAUAUGCUAUUUGAAUGUUCUUCCUAUAAAGAACUAUCACAACUGCAGUUCCUGAUCUGAUCACUAGUUAUUCAUUAGCAAGGUGGUGAUACCAAUGGGCCUAAAAAAUCUAUAAGACAUAUGAUCAUAAAUUUUCAAUGUGAAGCCACCCAGCAUCCAAGAAAGGCCAAUAGCUGUUAAAAAACAUUAAGCUCUAUGCUGAUAAAUGUAUGUUCCUUGCUUACUUUUUCCACACCAAUACCACCUCUGGCAUUUUUUCUAACAUUACGUGUAUCGCAUUGCAAAGUCUACUGCAGGUUCCUAUGAAACAGCCAUGUACUUAAGCCUUUAAGAAUGAAGUACUAAUAUACACACUAUACUAGGCUACUUACCCCUCUCUUCUUAUGUAUCCAGCUAUGAGGACUGAGACUUACCUUCUGAAGCAAAGAACUCCACAGGUUUACAAUUUGAUUUGUGGCAUAAAAGAUAUUGGGGUGUGUGUAUGUGUCUGUGUGUGCGUGUGUAUGUGUGAUACCAUUUUCUUUAGCUUAACUUGAUUGACACCUAUUUUUGUGAUGGCUUCAAAACAAAGAUGUACUCCUGGUGGAGUCUCAAAAAGAUUUCUCUCCUUCUCUGUCAUGGGAAGAAGUGGACAGCUGAGUCAACAUAAAAUUCCUGUUCAAUAUAAAAUUUAUUUAAGUUUGAUUUUCCUCUUUAAGGGAAGAAAAUUUUAAAACUGUCGGUAUAAUCUAAAGCAAUCUUCCCAUUUUCAUGGGAGGCUGUGUUCCCUUUCUUAAGGUAUUUAUGUGUUUUGACAAAUUCCACCCAAAGUGCAUGUGUUAUAUUUUUUAUGGAUUUAACUAUGGAAAGAACAACACCUUUACAAAUAUUUUGAGGUGUUUGUACUGUAAUGAACACUUAAAUUAUCCAUUGUUCUAUUUUUUAUGUCUGUGAAUAUAUGAUAUUUUUUGGUCCCCUGGGUGAUUCCUACAUUUCUCUUUUUUCUUAAUUUUGUUUAUGUCUUCCUUCCAUUUUAGUUCUGGGAGUCAAGGAAAUAUCUGUAUCCUGUUUUAUUGGAUUUAUUUACUACAUUGAAAAGAUUCAUAGUUAGAUACAAAAAUUUAGACAGUUAUGUCUAUUUUUAUUUUCUUCUGUAUUCGUUUAAACUGCAUGAGAAUUCUUUUUUGAGAAAAUCCUAACAGCUACCUGUGUGCCUUUGACAGCUGAAAUGUUGCUUUUGAAGAUAAAAUACAAAUGUAAGUGCUUUUGUACAUGCAACUGCACUACUGAAAUA